UACGUAGGGUGCGAGCGUUAAUCGGAAUUACUGGGCGUAAAGCGUGCGCAGGCGGUCUGUUAAGACCGAUGUGAAAUCCCCGGGCUUAACCUGGGGACUGCAUUGGUGACUGCAUUGCUGGAGUAUGGCAGAGGGGGGUGGAAUUCCACGUGUAGCAGUGAAAUACGUAGAGAUGUGGAGGAACACCGAUGGCGAAGGCAGCCCCCUGGGUCAAGAUUGACGCUCAUGCACGAAAGCGUGGGGAGCAAACAGG
rnacentral:rRNA from 1 species